AGUCGAACGAGGACCCUUUGAUUGGUAACUUUCGAAGGACUCCUAGUGGCGAACGGGUGAGUAACACGUGAGCAACCUGCCCCGAAGACCGGGAUAACCCAUGGAAACGUGGAUUAAUACCGGAUACCCUCUAGGGACCGAAUGGCCCCAUGAGGAAAGGCUCCGGCGCUUCGGGAUGGGCUCGCGGCCUAUCAGCUUGUUGGUGAGGUAACGGCUCACCAAGGCUCUGACGGGCAGCUGGUCUGAGAGGACGAUCAGCCACACUGGGACUGAGACACGGCCCAGACUCCUACGGGAGGCAGCAGCAGGGAAUAUUGCACAAUGGGCGCAAGCCUGAUGCAGCGACGCCGCGUGAGGGAUGAAGGCUUUCGAGUUGUAAACCUCUUUCAGUGGGGAAGAAGCGCAAGUGACGGUACCCACACAAGAAGGCCCGGCCAACUACGUGCCAGCAGCCGCGGUAAUACGUAGGGGCCAAGCGUUAUCCGGAUUUAUUGGGCGUAAAGAGCUCGUAGGCGGCUUGGCAAGUCGGUCGUGAAAGUCCGAGGCUCAACCUCGGAAUGCCGGUCGAAACUGCCAUGGCUAGGGUUCGGUAGAGGAGAGUG
rnacentral:rRNA from 1 species